rnacentral:lncRNA from 1 species
GACUUCAACAUUUGUCUGACCCAUAAUAGGAUGAUGUUCAACAACCAUAAUUUUAAAAUGAACACGCUAAAAGUUGAGUGCUGAACUUUAAAAAAUGGUAGCAUUCAACAGAUGGAGAUUGUCUUCAAGUACAAACACCAACACAGUUGAUACAAAAUUGUUAACUCCAAGUGUGGAUAUCAGAUUUACAAUAUACAAGAUUAUAUUUAUUGAAUCAGCUAUUCUUCAUUUGUAUAUAACUAGAUAGAUAGAACUUGUCUACCACCCAUCUAUCUCUCCUCGCUGAAGCCGCUCCGUCUCACUCUGUUGUCCUAGUCCUCGAAUCCUAAGGUGCAGUGGAUUAGCAACAGUCGAGAACCUCACAUUUUGUACAGGAUUCUGUAUUUCCACCACCUCCCGAACUAUUAUCUUCCUCAAUGAAUUUGCAUCCCUACUUUAGACCUCAAUGCAUCGGACACUGCUUCCAAAUCCAUUAUUCCACCACUGUUCACUACCCUUAUUCCGUAUUUCGCCACCAAUCACUACCCUUCUUCAUAUCCGCUCUGCUAGUUCUGUCAUUGGUGCCGCUGUCAAACUUUCUUGAAUACUUGCUGAGGCAAGUAUCUCAUAAUUUCAAUAGAUGUCCUAACACAACAUCAUUUCUAAUGAUUGUCUUCAUAAAAAUCAAAUUACACGGGAAAGUAAAAGAAUUUACCAGGAAAACUAACAAAACUUUGGUCCUCACCUCAAAUUGAAUGGAGAAAGAGGUAUGAUUUGAUGAUGGCUGAUGAAAAACGUUAAAAAGGGUCGCCAAUUAUCGACCAAAAUCAUGAGAAUCGCAGGAAAUUGGCCGAGAGAAAUCAUUGGUUUAGGGUUUGGUUGGAGUUAAAUUGCAUUCUUUUUUUUCUUCUGAGAACUUAAAAU